GAAGUCCUGGCCGUUUACUGGCUCGCUGCAUAAUGAAGAGAGACGGAGCUGGAGGAGGCUUGAGGGGGAUGGAGAUGUCUGUUUGGUGAGCGCAUCCUUCAGGAGGACAUUCAUAGCUUUAAUGCUGAAUCUCACAAUGGAUUAGAACGGAAGAUCUGCUGUGAAGCUGUUAGCUGAGGAGAGAGCGUUCUCAUGACGUGGGAUCAGAACCCAAAGGCGCUCUGCCAUACAGCAGGUUCAAGGACGUUACGAGCCGAAAGCGUCUGUGGAAUAGGGUUUAAAUAGUAUUUGUGUUGCAGAGCUCUCCUGCUCGUGUAAUAUUGACUUAAAAGUGGAGCACAAACUGAGCGAGACCUCGCAGACAUUACAGUAUCAGUGGAAGGAACUGAACUGAUCGUUUUCAUUUUGAAUCAGCAGUUUGUCUGGACGAUAAAGGUUAUGUUCACACCGCAGAUUAAUGACGCAGAAACUGGAUUUCAGAACGCCGGGAGUGAGAUGAGCAAACACUGGGCUGCUAACAAGAGCCUGAGGGCUCAGUUAGAUGAAAGAGAUCAGACGCUGAAGGAGCUGCACCAGAGGGUUGGUGUUUCAGAGAGGGAUGUGACGAUGAAGAGGCAGCUGGUGGAGGAUCUCAGAUGCAGACUAUAGAUCUGCCAGAACACUGAGACGAGCCACAGAUCAGCGGCUGAAGACUUGGAGAAGAAAGAAGGUCCUGCUCCGACAACAGCCGCUCUACUAGCAACCUGGAAUUAAUUAUUCUCUCUGCCGUUAUUGAUUGUGUCACUCAUCCACAGUCUGAACGUCCUAGGCUUCUACGUUUCUCUGUCUGUUUAAAAAUAUCGAAGUAAUUGAAUUGCUUUUCUUUUUUUAGAUGGAAUCUCUCACUGAUGAGGCAGCUUACCGAAGAGAAGAUUGACAGAUGCCACUGCAGAACAAAACCAGCAUGAGGCAACCAGCCAAAAACUCAAAGAAGAGCUUCAGAGAAAGGUUCAAGAGCAUCUGUACAUCACUCAGGAAUCGUAAUGCUUUUUUUGGGCUUGUCCUGCGUUGUAUUGCAGGAUGGCUUUUUCUUUCUCUUUCUUUAUUCACCUAAUUACCAUCAGUCUCGUUUGAUGUUUGGCGCCAAAUGCCAUACUUUGCCCCAGUUUCAUCGUUCAGUUCAUUCUAUCCGUUAUAUACUAUCUCCUAAUUGGUGAAACGCUUGUUAAGUGUGUUUAUUCCUCAGGAGCAGAGAAUGGCCGUCCUAGUCAUCACUGGGAAUGUAACGAUUCACUCAACUCGAUUUAUUUUUCUUUUUUUACAAAAUUAGAUUUAAGACAAAUUAUAAAUUAAAUGUGUCCUUUUAUUAUUGCUUGGACAAAAUGCUGCAUGUUUCUUUGUGAAAUUGAAAUGUAACACUAUAAUAAUAUACUAAAAUAGCACUUAUCACUGUUCUUUUGUUGGUUUUGAUUGCUUCUAUUGUCCUCAUUUGUAAGUCGCUUUGGGUUGAAGCAUCUGCUAAAUGACUAAAUCUAAAUAUAAUGUAAAUGUAAAUAACAAAACUAAAUUGAAAUUUAAAAAUAAGUAACACAAAUAAAAGAAAUCUUGGUCUGUGCUCUUUCCAUUUAAAAUGAGAGGCAACCACUGCAUUUUAAUCAUGAGCAGUUUUUAAUCUAAAUUAGAUUGUAUAACUUUAAAUUUAAAGCAAAAACAGAAUGGUUUGACUUCAGUUUUGUGAAACUAUACAUAAAAAAUAUUUGCAUGAAGCAGAAACUGAAACAGCAGAUGAGCUGAACGAGACGCAGAUUCACUCUCUGCCAGCAGGUGGAGCUUAAAGCGUUUCCUUGGUUACCGCUGUAAACAAAGCACUUGUGAACACUGCAGCAGGUGGAGCUUAAAGCGUUUCCUUGGUUACCGCUGUAAACAAAGCAGCGCUGCACUUAUGAACUUUAAUAUGCUUUAUACAGGGGCAAGAUGAAUAGAAAAAAUACCAU
ensembl:lncRNA